GAUGAACGCUGGCGGCGUGCCUAAUACAUGCAAGUCGAGCGAACAGAUGAGGAGCUUGCUCCUCUGACGUUAGCGGCGGACGGGUGAGUAACACGUGGAUAACCUACCUAUAAGACUGGGAUAACUUCGGGAAACCGGAGCUAAUACCGGAUAAUAUAUUGAACCGCAUGGUUCAAUAGUGAAAGACGGUUUUGCUGUCACUUAUAGAUGGAUCCGCGCCGCAUUAGCUAGUUGGUAAGGUAACGGCUUACCAAGGCAACGAUGCGUAGCCGACCUGAGAGGGUGAUCCGCCACACUGGAACUGAGACACGGUCCAGACUCCUACGGGAGGCAGCAGUAGGGAAUCUUCCGCAAGGGGCGAAAGCCUGACGGAGCAACGCCGCGUGAGUGAUGAAGGUCUUCGGAUCGUAAAACUCUGUUAUUAGGGAAGAACAAAUGUGUAAGUAACUAUGCACGUCUUGACGGUACCUAAUCAGAAAGCCACGGCUAACUACGUG
rnacentral:rRNA from 1 species